UCAAGUACCCCUGACUGCAGCCCGCAGAUCGGGGCGUGCCUCAACGUGGGCGGAGUUAAACGUUGAGCUCCGCCCACCUUGAACUAAACGUGGGCGGAGUUAAACGUUUAACUCCGCCCGCAUAGCGCAGUUGAACCGUUGAAGAAGAAGAAGAAUGUAUUAGAGAAGAAGAAGAAGUUUCCAAAAUGGAGAGAAUAGAGCACGUGUUUGCUGCAAACAGCCACGUCAUUGCCACAUGGUUUCCACCAUCAUCCACAAACCCCAUGGAUCACCUGCCGGACAAUGCAGCCAGUCUCCAGUGGGUUCUGCUUCCUAUUUGUACCUGGACACUGGAUACUCUAUACUGAGGCCACAGGCUAGAGAGAUUUUCUUUCUAGAUCCCCUCUGUGGCAGCGGCUGGAGAGAUGAGAGUAGAGUCCAUCGAGUCAGGUUUUUAGGACACCUUCCUAGAUCCUUCCUGGACAGUGGUAGUUCUGUUUUAAACCACUUGUCCUUUGUUUGUUUAAUAAAUGCUUCUGUUUUUAUUUGAAUGCAUUAAAAUGUUCCAAACAAACAAAAACAAACAACAAAAGUGAGUGUUUGUGAGGGAUAGAAGUAAUUGUUACAUUAUUCUUAUUUAUUUUUACAUUAUUCUACGCAGAUGGAAACAGAACCAUAUGUUUUGUUUGUUCAAGCCCAUUACAAAAACGUUUGAUUUGAAGUUCCAGCCUCUUCCAACUUUGUUCCAAGUGUUGCUUUAAAAUGGUUUAUUGUACUUUUAUUUACUCUUUGACCAGGCACGUUGCUCACAUCUCCUGGCCCUUGGAGGCAGCUUGGUGUGAAUGAUGUUCAGGUGAGACAUUACUACAUUGCAUUUGCUAACAUUUGCUAUUUCCUUGCCAUUCUUUUAUUAAAACACUGCAAAGAUGCUCCACCAACUGUGGCGUGUUUGUUUUGAUGGUAAGAACUACUCGGUAUGUUAUAUCGAUGACCUCUAUAAAAUGUUUUUUCUGCAUUUAAAACACACUCUUUGUAUUGAAAAACUGUAUCCUGACAGAAUGUGCAUGACAUUAUAUUAACCAGUAUCUCUGUACAUUGUAAUGGGGGCCAGUUGUGAUUUCAGUGAGGUUUUGUGCAAAUUGUGACACGUUAUGCUUGACUGUAGCGAUGAAGGUAUUAUUUUUGGAAACAUAUUUUAAUCUUCUGCAUUUCCUUCUUCACAGGGAAACAUGCUGCAGAUUAGAAGAUGGUGGUGUCUUGUUCUCCUGCAGAACUUCCCCAUGCCGUAAGCACCCUCAGUAUCACACUUUUAAACCAGAUUCUUUUAAAUCACGUUUUACUGUAUUCACUGUCAUCUGACCUGCAUGAAUGUUUUCAUUGUGAAUGUUUGUUGACAUUAAAUCACCACGAUCUGAAGAAGAGAGAUUGCAGCAAAGAAAAAGGCAACAAGAGCAGAAAAAACUACAGUAUGUGGCUGAAGUCCCCCUGAAAAUGUUUAGGCUUUCAGAAUCUGCCACUGAAGCAUCAGAUGAGGCUGAGAACAGGACUGGGAACAGGAAACGGGGAGAAUCCUUUGGUCAGGGAUGCAAUGGCAGCAGCCCGGUGGUGUGGGACCAGAACUUUCAAGGGAAAAAUUUCCCUUCCCCAAGUUGUUACCAUGGCCAAGGAGCAACGCGUGAGGGCAGUGGAACUCCUGUGUGUCUGUGAUGGCCAGGAAGAAGAGGAGACCGCUGAUCUCAGAGAACUGUUCCUUUUUCUUUUUAGUCUGCAGGAAGACUAUGAGACAUUCUGUCAAGAAAUCAUUGACAGGAGAAACAUGAAGGUGUUUUGUGGUUUGACAGAAAAGAAUAAAGUUGUGUUCAACGGUG